GUUCCCGUAUUAUCACCAAAGUUAAGCAACGUCGAGUCUGGUCAGUACCUAGAUGAGUGACCGUUUGGGAAUCCCAGGUGCUGUAAG